CAAAACAAAGUAUUGUCUUUUUCCGAUUUUAAUCAACGUCUCCUAUAGUUUUUAUUGGUUAAAAAUGUAGAAAAGCAAAAUAAUAUUAAAAAAAAAAAAAUAAAUAACACACUAAUAAAAACAGUUAUAACCUUUUUAAAAAAAAAAAAAAAAAUGAAAGUUGUUAAAAAAAAAUUAACAAAAAAUGAAAAACUAACUAAUAAAACGAAUAGUUCCAAGAUCAAGAAAAAAAUGAAAAAAAAAAACAGGAAUAAUAAAAGUGUUAAUAAACAUAUAAAUACAAAAGACUUUAAGAUUAUUAAAAAACUUAAAACGUGUAAAUAUAAUGAUAGUAUUUUUGAUUUUAUUGACAUAGGAUAUAAAAGGUACUAUUUAAAAAAAAAGUUAAGUCAGAAAAAAGAUAAUGACAAUACUAAUGAUAAAAAGGGCAAUGAUAGUGCUAACGAUAUAAACGCUGAUAGUAGCAAAACUUGUGACAACAAGAACGACUCUUGUUUUUUAUUUUUUGAAUCUAUCAAUGCAUAUGAAUUAAAAAAAUAUAAAAUGAGCAAAAAAAUAUUUAAAAUUAUUUAUAAUAUGACAAAAGUAAAUAUGAAAGAUUUAUAUGAACACAGUAAUUUUAUGAACAAAGGUUGGUCAGGUAAAAAAAAGCGAAAAGAAUUGAAUAGUGAUAAGUGUAAAUUAAUAUUAGGGUUUAUAAAAAAUGAUAAAACACAAAAAAAAAUAAAUAGCAUUGUUGAUACUGAUUGUAUAAAUAAUGAUAUUAGUAGCAAACAAGACAUGGGGAACGAUGAAGGUAAAUACAAUCGUAAUAAUAAUAACAAUAAUAAGUGUAAUAAUAAAAAUAUAGGUAAUGAUAACGAUAAUAAAAACAUAAACUCCGAAUUAGAAUUGACUCUUAUAAAUAUGUUAAAAAGCAAUGAUAAAAAAAAAAAAAAUAUAUAUUUUAACACAUAUAAGUUAGUGUGUUUUAUACAUUAUAGGCUUAUUCCUGAUUAUCACCCAAACCAAAAAAAUAUUAUUUGCUACUUAUAUGAAAUUCAAAUAAAUCGUAGUUAUACAAACUUAGGAAUAGGUUCACAUUUAAUAAGCAUGUUAGAGCAGUUAUGCAAAAAAAUAAAAAUAAAAAAAAUUAUAUGUACAGUAUUGAAAAAAAAUAUUAAUGCUGUGUCCUUUUAUAAACAAAAAUGCUUUUUUACAAUUGACGAAAACUCACCUGACAAUUUUGUUCAAGAUGAAACGGAAAUAUGUGAGUAUGAAAUUUUAAAGAAAGAAAUAUGUUAAUACUAUUAUAUUUUCACUAAGUAAACCAAGCUGUGUGGGUGAAAAUAAAACAUAAUAAAACGUCA
rnacentral:lncRNA from 1 species